UGACCUCAACUCAGUCGUGAUUACCUGCUGAAUUUAAGCAUAUAACUAAGCAGAGGAAAAGAAACUAACGAGGAUUUCCCUAGUAACGGCGAGUGAAUGGGAAAUAGCCCAGCGCUAAAUCUACUAAUCUUUUUGAUUAGUUAGAAAUGUAGCGUAUAGGUAUAACAAAAUAUUUAGUCGAUUGUUUUAUGCACCCAAAGUCCCCUUGAGUGGGGCCAUGAUCCGUAGAAGGUGCGAGACCUGUACGGGUGAUGAAGCAAUCGAUGCGUUAUACUCUAGAGUCGAGUUGUUUGAGAUUGCAGCUCAAAGAGGGUGGUAGAUUUCAUCUAAGGCUAAAUAUUGCCACGAGACCGAUAGCAAACAAGUACCGUGAGGGAAAGUUGCAAAGAACUUUGAAGAGAGAGUUCAAGAGGACGUGAAACCGCUGAGAUUGAAGCGAAUAGAAUUGACGAAACUCGUUAGCAUUCAACCAAUCGGAUAAACAUUGCUAUAUUGUUGAAUAUAUUUUUUUAUUUUUUGAAAAAAUAUAUUCGUCGUGUACAUUAUGAUAAAAAAUUAGUAAUGACAUCAAUAUAUGCAUAAAUUGUUUAUUAUAUAUAAUUUUAUAUAUAAAGAUUGGUGCUUUUGCUAAUAGUAUGCAUUGAGAAUCUCGUUAACGUAUGAAACGAUUCGAUUGUUCUUGUGGACCGUUUGUCUUUGUUUCAAAGUGAACGAAAUCCAACAAUUGAAUGAUAAUGAAGAGAGAGCAUAUCGUUAAUGAGAGAAAGGUGAUAUCUCAACUGUAGUUUUUCGAGACUAUAGUGUUUCAAGGAUCCUCUUCAUUAACAAUAGCAUUGGAUAAAACGCUUGCGUUUUUAUCUAUGUAAUUUUUUUAUUGUUUUUGUUGAGAUUUUUUGAUGAAACAUUUUUUAAAUAAAUAAAAGAGAUAUAUUCUCGAUGUGAACGUCAAUCACCUAUUCGACCCGUCUUGAAACACGGACCAAGGAGUCUAGCACAUACGCAAGUCAAUAGAUAUAUAAAAUCUAUCGGCAUAAUGAAAGUAAAUGUUG
rfam:Dracunculus medinensis genome assembly, scaffold: DME_contig0000340